rnacentral:rRNA from 1 species
UACAGAGGUCUCAAGCGUUGUUCGGAAUCACUGGGCUUAAAGGGCGCGUAGGCGGUCGACCAAGUCCGGGGUGAAAUCUUUCGGCUUAACCGGAAAAGUGCCUUGGAUACUGGUCGGCUGGAGGGAGGUAGGGGCAGGUGGAACUUCCAGUGGAGCGGUGAAAUGCGUUGAUAUUGGAAGGAACGCCGGUGGCGAAAGCGACCUGCUGGACCUCUUCUGACGCUGAGGCGCGAAAGCUAGGGGAGCAAACGGG